CAACCCUCAAGCUCUGCUUGGUAUUGGGCCCUGCCGCUGGGCAGGCCUUAAAAUCAGUGGCGGUGCCGUCGCGGCUCCAAGCGUAGUACAUCUCUCGCUCUGGAGGCCCGGUGGUGUCUUGCCAGACAACCCCCAAUUGUCUUCUAU
rnacentral:misc_RNA from 1 species